rnacentral:rRNA from 1 species
AGCGAACGCUGGCGGCAGGCUUAACACAUGCAAGUCGAACGGGAAUCCUUUUGGUGUGUGCGGUGGACGGGUGAGUAACGCGUGGGAACGAGGCCUGCAGCUCGGACUAACUUUUGGGAACUUUUCAUGAAACCGGAGAUACGCGAGGACAGAAAGGGCUAUCUGAGGGAGGGGCGGGGCGCGUCUGAGUGGCUGGGUGUUGAGGGUCUGGUUAACCAAUGCGUGGUUGAGUAGCUGGUUGGCGAGGCUGAGCAGCCACACUGGCACUGAGACACGGCCGAGAAUCCUACGGGAGGGAGCAGUGGGGAAUAUUGGACGAGGGGGGCAAAUCUGAUACAGCCAUGCCGGGUGAGUGAUGACGGCCUUAGGGUUGUAAAGCUGUUUUCUACGGGACGAUAAUGACGGUACCGGAGGAAUAAGCCCCGGCUAACUUCGUG